UUCAAGGCGGCAAUGUUAACGUUUAAUCAUUCGUACAUAGGUGGUAUGUUUACCAAUAGCUAAACGUAUAAAUAAAUUGUCUAGAGUCUUCGUAAUUUUUUUCUAUUUUGGAUUAAUCUGAUGCAAGCCAUUGCUGGACACACAGAACACCCGUGGACGAGUUUGCUUUACAUCGCUUCAUUUUAGUUUAAAUAGGUACAGGAGACGCUGGCAACGCCUCUGAGUCUGAGGAGUGUGCCCCCCCCCCCCCCCCUCGUGAUGAGGAGGAGUGGUACGGCCCCAUAACCCAGGACCUGUCUCCAUCUGCAGAAGACUCCAAUGGCAGUGUGGAAGGAUCCAACACCGGGGACGGGACGGGGGGUGUGGGGGGAUCUGUGCGCUCACGAUGGAAUGGAGACCCGCCCCCUGCGUGGGGAUGUGGGAAGCUCCACCCAGGAAGGAGGCGUCUCCACGUCUGCCUCCUGCGCGUGACGGAUAUUAUCCAAGCUGACGGCUCGCUGCCGAUGGAUCCACUGCGGGAGCGGGGGUGGGAGGGGGGGGGGGGUUAGGGUACUGAUGGGUGCACGGGCUGGCGGGUCAACGGCGGGCCCAUGCGGGUGAAACGCCGUACGCCCGCUCUGACCUCGGUAAGGCCCUGCCGACUGCUUUGUUGCCCAUGGCGACGCAGCGGCGCAUCCGCGCGGGAAAGGCUCACACCCGGAGCAAAGCGCUCAGCUGCACGGUGUUCAGCUGCGCAGUGUUGUGCACGCUGUGUUCAGCUGCACGGUGUUCAGCUGCGCAGUGUUGUGCACGCUGUGUUCAGCUGCGCAGUGUUCUGCACACUGUGUUCAGCUGCAGGGUGUUCAGCACGCUGUGUUCUGCUGCGUGGUGUGCACACGGUGUUCAGCUGCGCAGUGUUCAGCUGUGCGGUGCUCAGCAUGCAGGGUUCAGCUGCGCAGUAUUCAGCACGUGGUGUUCAGCAUGCGGUGUUCAGCUGCGCAGUGUUGUGCACGCUGUGUUCAGCUGCGCGGUGUUCAGCUUCCCAGCCCUGUUCCUGGAGAUCGUGGACCUCUUGUGUGAUUGCUUCAGGUGAGAUUUUAAAGGUGCUGUACAAAGUUUAAAGUUUAUGAACUCAUGAAUGUGUAGAUGUCACAUCAGAAAAAAACUGUAGGACAAUUAGUGAGAGUGUAGAUUUAUUUGUUAUGAAUGAUAAAAUAAAAAAGGUUUUAAUUGUUUUUCAAUAUCGGCAUAUUAUGCCAGUGCUCCUCCCUUGUUGCUUUUGGCCAUUAUUUUGGCCGUUCAUGUUCUUCAUAUCCGUGCAUUGAGUGUCUUUAUUUCUCAGGAGAGACGCAGGGCGUUUCUGGGACACCCCUGUCUUCUGUGCGUGGAGAACGGGGCUGGGACAGGCUGUGGGGAGAGCCCUAACCCCCCCGCCAUGUGGUGGACGGGACAUCCAUGGGGUUUAGAGGGGGGUUUUGGACCAGUAGGAAAGUGUGUAGUGAGAAAUGCUUUGUGAAUUGGGCUGUACAGAUGAACCAGACUGGGUUUGAUGUUUACAGUGAAACCCAGGCCGUGGCAGGGGGAAUAAACACGUUUAAAACAUGA